rnacentral:rRNA from 1 species
GACGAACCGUGCAAACGUUGUUCGGAAUCACUGGGCUUAAAGGGCGCGUAGGCGGGCUAUCAAGUCCGGGGUGAAAUCUUUCGGCUCAACCGGAAAAUUGCCUUGGAUACUGAUGGUCUCGAGGGAGGUAGGGGCAUGUGGAACUUCCGGUGGAGCGGUGAAAUGCGUUGAUAUCGGAAGGAACGCCGGUGGCGAAAGCGACGUGCUGGACCUUUUCUAACGCUGAGGCGCGAAAGCUAGGGGAG